rnacentral:tRNA from 10 species
CAAGAAAAGGUCAGGAUAGCU